UACGUAGGUGGCAAGCGUUGUCCGGAUUUACUGGGCGUAAAGGAUGCGUAGGCGGAUAUUUAAGUCAGAUGUGAAAAUCCCGAGCUUAACUUGGGAACUGCAUUUGAAACUGGGUAUCUAGAGUGCGGGAGAGGGAGGUGGAAUUUCAGGUGUAGCGGUGAAAUGCGUAGAUAUCUGAAGGAACACCAGUGGCGAAAGCGGCUUCCUGGUCCAGCACCGACGUUCAGGCACGAAAGCGUGGGGAGCAAACAGG
rnacentral:rRNA from 1 species